UGCACCUGAGCUUGCGAGAAGUGGUAAAGCAAGCACAGGUACUGAUCUAUAUGCAUUUGGGGUAUUCAUGCUAGAGGUUGUUUGUGGUAGAAGGCCAAUAAAUCCUCGAGCAUCCCCAGCGGAAGUAAUUUUGAUCGAUUGGGUGAUGGACUGUUGGGACAGGGGAAAUAUUUUAGAUACAGUUGAUCACAGACUAGGGAAAGGAUAUGUUGUGCAAGAAGCUGCAUUGGUAUUGAAACUUGGCUUACUGUGUUCGCAUGCUGUGGCUGCAGCAAGGCCAAGCAUGGCUAGUGUUGUACAUUUUUUAGAUGGAGCUGGUCAAUUGCCUGAAAACUUGAACUCGAUCAUCAAAUCCAGGGAUUUUGCCAGCGACUCUAAUGAAGCAGGCGUAGCACUUGAUGUCCAAGUUGAAAAGAUUUCCAUUCCUCCAAUAACUUUGACAGAAUCAUUUGCCUCUCAUGGCCGUUGAAGACAUUAAGACAAGAUCUCCCUUCGUUGUAUUCCGAUUGUUAGUUUGUGUUGCAAGCCUACAAAGAAGAGUGAAUUUGUUUAAUCCCCAAAGGGCAUCAGAUUUUUAAGCCAUUGCAUCUUUCAGAGGAUAAUUCAAUCAGUCAGCUGCAACAGCAGGAAAUUCUAGUUUGGCUGUGUUGGAGUUGCCUAGAUUUUUACUUGAGAGUCAAAAUUAUGUUGGUAAGUUAUAAUCUUUGUUUGCUUUUGUUGUCAAUUG
rnacentral:misc_RNA from 1 species